GUUGUGUAAUUUAUAUAAAAUAACUACCUUGAAAGUAGUAAAAGUACCCACUACAACUUC
rnacentral:tRNA from 1 species